GGUUAAGCGACUAAGCGUACACGGUGGAUGCCCUGGCAGUCAGAGGCGAUGAAGGACGUGCUAAUCUGCGAUAAGCGUCGGUAAGGUGAUAUGAACCGUUAUAACCGGCGAUUUCCGAAUGGGGAAACCCAGUGUGAUUCGUCACACUAUCAUUAACUGAAUCCAUAGGUUAAUGAGGCGAACCGGGGGAACUGAAACAUCUAAGUACCCCGAGGAAAAGAAAUCAACCGAGAUUCCCCCAGUAGCGGCGAGCGAACGGGGAGCAGCCCAGAGCCUGAAUCAGUGUGUGUGUUAGUGGAAGCGUCUGGAAAGGCGCGCGAUACAGGGUGACAGCCCCGUACACAAAAAUGCACAUGCUGUGAGCUCGAUGAGUAGGGCGGGACACGUGGUAUCCUGUCUGAAUAUGGGGGGGACCAUCCUCCAAGGCUAAAUACUCCUGACUGACCGAUAGUGAACCAGUACCGUGAGGGAAAGGCGAAAAGAACCCCGGCGAGGGGAGUGAAAAAGAACCUGAAACCGUGUACGUACAAGCAGUGGGAGCACGCUUAGGCGUGUGACUGCGUACCUUUUGUAUAAUGGGUCAGCGACUUAUAUUCUGUAGCAAGGUUAACCGAAUAGGGGAGCCGAAGGGAAACCGAGUCUUAACUGGGCGUUAAGUUGCAGGGUAUAGACCCGAAACCCGGUGAUCUAGCCAUGGGCAGGUUGAAGGUUGGGUAACACUAACUGGAGGACCGAACCGACUAAUGUUGAAAAAUUAGCGGAUGACUUGUGGCUGGGGGUGAAAGGCCAAUCAAACCGGGAGAUAGCUGGUUCUCCCCGAAAGCUAUUUAGGUAGCGCCUCGUGAAUUCAUCUCCGGGGGUAGAGCACUGUUUCGGCAAGGGGGUCAUCCCGACUUACCAACCCGAUGCAAACUGCGAAUACCGGAGAAUGUUAUCACGGGAGACACACGGCGGGUGCUAACGUCCGUCGUGAAGAGGGAAACAACCCAGACCGCCAGCUAAGGUCCCAAAGUCAUGGUUAAGUGGGAAACGAUGUGGGAAGGCCCAGACAGCCAGGAUGUUGGCUUAGAAGCAGCCAUCAUUUAAAGAAAGCGUAAUAGCUCACUGGUCGAGUCGGCCUGCGCGGAAGAUGUAACGGGGCUAAACCAUGCACCGAAGCUGCGGCAGCGACGCUUAUGCGUUGUUGGGUAGGGGAGCGUUCUGUAAGCCUGUGAAGGUGUGCUGUGAGGCAUGCUGGAGGUAUCAGAAGUGCGAAUGCUGACAUAAGUAACGAUAAAGCGGGUGAAAAGCCCGCUCGCCGGAAGACCAAGGGUUCCUGUCCAACGUUAAUCGGGGCAGGGUGAGUCGACCCCUAAGGCGAGGCCGAAAGGCGUAGUCGAUGGGAAACAGGUUAAUAUUCCUGUACUUGGUGUUACUGCGAAGGGGGACGGAGAAGGCUAUGUUGGCCGGGCGACGGUUGUCCCGGUUUAAGCGUGUAGGCUGGUUUUCCAGGCAAAUCCGGAAAAUCAAGGCUGAGGCGUGAUGACGAGGCACUACGGUGCUGAAGCAACAAAUGCCCUGCUUCCAGGAAAAGCCUCUAAGCAUCAGGUAACAUCAAAUCGUACCCCAAACCGACACAGGUGGUCAGGUAGAGAAUACCAAGGCGCUUGAGAGAACUCGGGUGAAGGAACUAGGCAAAAUGGUGCCGUAACUUCGGGAGAAGGCACGCUGAUAUGUAGGUGAAGUCCCUCGCGGAUGGAGCUGAAAUCAGUCGAAGAUACCAGCUGGCUGCAACUGUUUAUUAAAAACACAGCACUGUGCAAACACGAAAGUGGACGUAUACGGUGUGACGCCUGCCCGGUGCCGGAAGGUUAAUUGAUGGGGUCAGCGCAAGCGAAGCUCUUGAUCGAAGCCCCGGUAAACGGCGGCCGUAACUAUAACGGUCCUAAGGUAGCGAAAUUCCUUGUCGGGUAAGUUCCGACCUGCACGAAUGGCGUAAUGAUGGCCAGGCUGUCUCCACCCGAGACUCAGUGAAAUUGAACUCGCUGUGAAGAUGCAGUGUACCCGCGGCAAGACGGAAAGACCCCGUGAACCUUUACUAUAGCUUGACACUGAACAUUGAGCCUUGAUGUGUAGGAUAGGUGGGAGGCUUAGAAGUGUGGACGCCAGUCUGCAUGGAGCCGACCUUGAAAUACCACCCUUUAAUGUUUGAUGUUCUAACGUUGACCCGUAAUCCGGGUUGCGGACAGUGUCUGGUGGGUAGUUUGACUGGGGCGGUCUCCUCCUAAAGAGUAACGGAGGAGCACGAAGGUUGGCUAAUCCUGGUCGGACAUCAGGAGGUUAGUGCAAUGGCAUAAGCCAGCUUGACUGCGAGCGUGACGGCGCGAGCAGGUGCGAAAGCAGGUCAUAGUGAUCCGGUGGUUCUGAAUGGAAGGGCCAUCGCUCAACGGAUAAAAGGUACUCCGGGGAUAACAGGCUGAUACCGCCCAAGAGUUCAUAUCGACGGCGGUGUUUGGCACCUCGAUGUCGGCUCAUCACAUCCUGGGGCUGAAGUAGGUCCCAAGGGUAUGGCUGUUCGCCAUUUAAAGUGGUACGCGAGCUGGGUUUAGAACGUCGUGAGACAGUUCGGUCCCUAUCUGCCGUGGGCGCUGGAGAACUGAGGGGGGCUGCUCCUAGUACGAGAGGACCGGAGUGGACGCAUCACUGGUGUUCGGGUUGUCAUGCCAAUGGCACUGCCCGGUAGCUAAAUGCGGAAGAGAUAAGUGCUGAAAGCAUCUAAGCACGAAACUUGCCCCGAGAUGAGUUCUCCCUGACUCCUUGAGAGUCCUGAAGGAACGUUGAAGACGACGACGUUGAUAGGCCGGGUGUGUAAGCGCAGCGAUGCGUUGAGCUAACCGGUACUAAUGAACCGUGAGGCUUAACCUU
rnacentral:rRNA from 1 species